UACGGAGGGUCCAAGCGUUGUCCGGAAUCACUGGGUGUAAAGGGUGCGCAGGUGGGGCAGCAAGUCAAUGGUGAAAGCCCGCGGCUUAACCGCGGAAGUGCCAUUGAAACUGCUGCUCUUGAGUCCCGGAGAGGCUGCCGGAAUUCGUGGUGUAGCGGUGAAAUGCGUAGAUAUCACGAGGAACACCAGAGGCGAAAGCGGGCAGCUGGACGGGUACUGACACUCAGGCACGAAAGCGUGGGGAGCAAACAGG
rnacentral:ncRNA from 2 species